rnacentral:rRNA from 1 species
UACGUAGGGGGCAAGCGUUGUCCGGAAUCAUUGGGCGUAAAGAGCGUGUAGGCGGCCUGGUAAGUCCGCUGUGAAAGUCCAGGGCUCAACCCUGGAAUGCCGGUGGAUACUGCCGGGCUGGAGUCCGGAAGAGGCGAGUGGAAUUCCUGGUGUAGCGGUGAAAUGCGCAGAUAUCAGGAGGAACACCAAUGGCGAAGGCAGCUCGCUGGGACGGUACUGACGCUGAGGCGCGAAAGCGUGGGGAGCAAACAGG